GUAGGUGGCAAGCGUUGUCCGGAAUUAUUGGGCGUAAAGCGCGCGCAGGCGGUUCUUUAAGUCUGAUGUGAAAGCCCACGGCUCAACCGUGGAGGGUCAUUGGAAACUGGAGAACUUGAGUACAGAAGAGGAAAGCGGAAUUCCACGUGUAGCGGUGAAAUGCGUGGAGAUGUGGAGGAACACCAGUGGCGAAGGCGGCUUUCUGGUCUGUAACUGACGCUGAGGCGCGAAAGCGUGGGGGAGCAAACAGGAUUAGAUACCCUGGUAGUCCACGCCGUAAACGAUGAGUGCUAAGUGUUAGGGGGUUUCCGCCCCUUAGUGCUGCAGCUAACGCAUUAAGCACUCCGCCUGGGAGUACGGCCGCAAGGCUG
rnacentral:rRNA from 1 species